GUCGUGAAGAGGGAAACAACCCAGACCGCCAGCUAAGGUCCCAAAGUCAUGGUUAAGUGGGAAACGAUGUGGGAAGGCACAGACAGCCAGGAUGUUGGCUUAGAAGCAGCCAUCAUUUAAAGAAAGCGUAAUAGCUCACUGGUCGAGUCGGCCUGCGCGGAAGAUGUAACGGGGCUAAACCAUGCACCGAAGCUGCGGCAGCGACACUAUGUGUUGUUGGGUAGGGGAGCGUUCUGUAAGCCUGCGAAGGUGUGCUGUGAGGCAUGCUGGAGGUAUCAGAAGUGCGAAUGCUGACAUAAGUAACGAUAAAGCGGGUGAAAAGCCCGCUCGCCGGAAGACCAAGGGUUCCUGUCCAACGUUAAUCGGGGCAGGGUGAGUCGACCCCUAAGGCGAGGCCGAAAGGCGUAGUCGAUGGGAAACAGGUUAAUAUUCCUGUACUUGGUGUUACUGCGAAGGGGGGACGGAGAAGGCUAUGUUAGCCGGGCGACGGUUGUCCCGGUUUAAGCAUGUAGGCUGAUUGUCCAGGCAAAUCCGGAUAAUCAAGGCUGAGGUGUGAUGACGAGGCACUACGGUGCUGAAGUAACAAAUGCCCUGCUUCCAGGAAAAGCCUCUAAGCAUCAGGUAACAUCAAAUCGUACCCCAAACCGACACAGGUGGUCAGGUAGAGAAUACCAAGGCGCUUGAGAGAACUCGGGUGAAGGAACUAGGCAAAAUGGUGCCGUAACUUCGGGAGAAGGCACGCUGGUGUGUAGGUGAAGCCCCUGCGGGUGGAGCUGAGACCAGUCGAAGAUACCAGCUGGCUGCAACUGUUUAUUAAAAACACAGCACUGUGCAAACACGAAAGUGGACGUAUACGGUGUGACGCCUGCCCGGUGCCGGAAGGUUAAUUGAUGGGGUUAUCCGUAAGGAGAAGCUCUUGAUCGAAGCCCCGGUAAACGGCGGCCGUAACUAUAACGGUCCUAAGGUAGCGAAAUUCCUUGUCGGGUAAGUUCCGACCUGCACGAAUGGCGUAAUGAUGGCCAGGCUGUCUCCACCCGAGACUCAGUGAAAUUGAACUCGCUGUGAAGAUGCAGUGUACCCGCGGCAAGACGGAAAGACCCCGUGAACCUUUACUAUAGCUUGACACUGAACAUUGAGCCUUGAUGUGUAGGAUAGGUGGGAGGCUUUGAAGCGUGGACGCCAGUCUGCGUGGAGCCAACCUUGAAAUACCACCCUUUAAUGUUUGAUGUUCUAACGUUGGCCCCUGACCGGGGUUGCGGACAGUGUCUGGUGGGUAGUUUGACUGGGGCGGUCUCCUCCCAAAGCGUAACGGAGGAGCACGAAGGUUAGCUAAUCCUGGUCGGACAUCAGGAGGUUAGUGCAAUGGCAUAAGCUAGCUUGACUGCGAGCGUGACGGCGCGAGCAGGUGCGAAAGCAGGUCAUAGUGAUCCGGUGGUUCUGAAUGGAAGGGCCAUCGCUCAACGGAUAAAAGGUACUCCGGGGAUAACAGGCUGAUACCGCCCAAGAGUUCAUAUCGACGGCGGUGUUUGGCACCUCGAUGUCGGCUCAUCACAUCCUGGGGCUGAAGUAGGUCCCAAGGGUAUGGCUGUUCGCCAUUUAAAGUGGUACGCGAGCUGGGUUUAGAACGUCGUGAGACAGUUCGGUCCCUAUCUGCCGUGGGCGCUGGAGAAUUGAGGGGGGCUGCUCCUAGUACGAGAGGACCGGAGUGGACGCAUCACUGGUGUUCGGGUUGUCAUGCCAAUGGCACUGCCCGGUAGCUAAAUGCGGAAGAGAUAAGUGCUGAAAGCAUCUAAGCACGAAACUUGCCCCGAGAUGAGUUCUCCCUGAGACUUUAAGUCUCCUGAAGGAACGUUGAAGACGACGACGUUGAUAGGCCGGGUGUGUAAGCGCAGCGAUGCGUUGAGCUAACCGGUACUAAUGAACCGUGAGGCUUAACCUU
rnacentral:rRNA from 1 species